GGGUUGCCUGCCUGCCCCGAAAUUAUGGUUCUUCCCUGGGAUGUAGGGAGAGCCUGAGCUCGGCCCAGCGGUUGUGGAGCUCUCCAGUGUCUCCUGCACUUCUGGGACUCAUGCCUUCAGCUGGAGAACUGCUAAAUGUACAGAGUUCUCUCCUCAAGGAAAUAUUUGGAAGUGACAGUGCCAUGGUGAGAGGAGAGGGGAGGAUCCUUGCUUUUUGUUGCUGUUGCUCAGGAGGUUUGAAAUGCUUGCAACAGUUCUCCAGCAUUUGCUCAAGCCUCUGUGUGAACUUCCUGAUCUGGGGAAGCAGUGAGCUCCAACAGGAGAAGGUCAGCUUGAAACAGCCAAACACAUGGGCUCUCAACACACCUGUGCAGGAGGUCGCUGCAUUCCAGCAUGGUGCUUCUUUGCCAGAAAUAGAGACCUUCCUCAGUGUUGUAACCCAUAGAUAUGAUGUACCAACCCUGGUCUGACUGCAGUGCUCACCUGGUUUUCCAUCAGGAUUUUCUGGUCUCUGUUUUUUAGGGUCGCCCUUAGCACUGCUGAAGUUCAGCUAGUAAUGUGGCCUGAUGGGUUCAAGGAACUCAAGUAGGCAGCAAAGAUGAAUACACUUAACUGAUUGGCUUGUAUUUCAACCAAUGUUCCCUAUUUAAGAGACAGAUUGAAGCAAGGACAGGAUAUGUUGCUCUGAGGUGAAGAUCUUUUACCAGCCAUGCUCUGGUCUGCUCCCUCCUCUCCCUUUAUCAGUGUGAUGCAUCUGCACCAGCAUGCCGUGCUUUCCACUCCCAGGUGGUGGAAGGGGGCACCAGUAAAUUACAGUUUAUUUUUAGAAAGCCUCCAUAUCUCAUCAGAUCUGACAUUGUAACACUUCAGCCAAGCUGCUUUUUCGUAACUUUAUUUUACUAUUGCACCGUCCCUCAUUGAAAUUUUAUAGUUUGCUUCAGUUCCUGGGUCCCUAGUGCUUAAAGUUAACAUUGCGAAAUGGUAUGCAUGUAGAAAGCAGAGACCCUCUCUAUUCCAUUAUUUUAUGUAUUUAUUUAUUUAAUGUUCUUACUCCUUGUGAAAUCUCCAAAUUCGGAACUGCCCAUGCCUCUAAAAGUGACACUGUAUACUCUGGGGCACUGUUAAACUGCUAAAAAUGGAAACUUGAUGCUGCUUCUUGUGGGGUGGAAGGGAAACUGCUGAGAGAGGCGUUGGCUUUACCCCGACUGCCUCAUGAUGCUGAGUGCUGGGAGCAGAACAUUGUAUAAGAUCUCUGAAAAUUCAGCUGCUUACUGCUCUUCUAUGUAAAUUCCAGAUUACGGGCCAGAUUCACUGUUGACAUAAGCAGAUGCAAAUCUAAUGAAGUCACUGCAGUUACUUCAACUUGUGCCAGAGGUGAAUUUGCCCCUAUUUUUGGAACAUGCUGG
rnacentral:lncRNA from 1 species